rfam:Lonchura striata domestica isolate white83orange57 scaffold_105, whole genome shotgun sequence.
AAACAGGUUCCUCUAGGAACCAUUCAGGUUCUGUGUAGCUGUCAU